rnacentral:rRNA from 1 species
GACGAACGCUGGCGGCGUGCUUAACACAUGCAAGUCGAACGGAAAGGCCCUGCUUUUGUGGGGUGCUCGAGUGGCGAACGGGUGAGUAACACGUGAGUAACCUGCCCUUGACUUUGGGAUAACUUCAGGAAACUGGGGCUAAUACCGGAUAGGAGCUCCUGCUGCAUGGUGGGGGUUGGAAAGUUUCGGCGGUUGGGGAUGGACUCGCGGCUUAUCAGCUUAUUGGUGGGGUAGUGGCUUACCAAGGCUUUGACGGGUAGCCGGCCUGAGAGGGUGACCGGCCAACUUGGGACUGAGAUACGGCCCAGACCCCUACGGGAGGCAGCAGGGGGGAAUAUUGCAAAAGGGGCGGAAGCCUGAGGCAGCAACGCCGGGGGCGGGAUGACGGCCUUGGGGUUGUAAACCGCUUUCGCCUGUGACGAAGGGUGAGUGACGGUAAUGGGAAAAGAAGCACCGGCUAACUACGU